rnacentral:rRNA from 1 species
AUUGAACGCUGGCGGCAGGCUUAACACAUGCAAGUCGAGCGGAGUGAUGGUGCUUGCACCUUAUCUUAGCGGCGGACGGGUGAGUAAUGCUUAGGAACGUGCCGAGUAGUGGGGGAUAACGCAGCGAAAGUUGUGCUAAUACCGCAUACGUACUGAGGUAGAAAGUGGGGGACCUUCGGGCCUCACGCUAUUCGAGCGGCCGACGUCUGAUUAGCUAGUAGGUGAGGUAAAGGCUCACCUAGGCGACGAUCAGUAGCGGGUCUGAGAGGAUGAUCCGCCACACUGGGACUGAGACACGGCCCAGACUCCUACGGGAGGCAGCAGUGGGGAAUUUUGGACAAUGGGCGAAAGCCUGAUCCAGCCAUGCCGCGUGUCUGAAGAAGGCCUUCGGGUUGUAAAGGACUUUUGUCAGGGAGGAAAUCCCUAGUGCUAAUAACACUGGGGGAUGACAGUACCUGAAGAAUAAGCACCGGCUAACUACGUGCCAGCAGCCGCCAGUAA